AAUCAACGCUGGCGGCGUGCCUAACACAUGCAAGUCGCACGAGAAAGGGGCUUCGGCCCUGAGUAAAGUGGCGCACGGGUGAGUAACACGUGACUAACCUACCCUCGAGUGGGGAAUAACCUAGAGAAAUCUGGGCUAAUACCGCAUAACACUUACGAGUCAAAGCAGCAAUGCGCUUGGGGAGGGGGUCGCGGCAGAUUAGCUAGUUGGCGGGGUAAUGGCCCACCAAGGCAAUGAUCUGUAUCCGGCCUGAGAGGGCGCACGGACACACUGGAACUGAAACACGGUCCAGACUCCUACGGGAGGCAGCAGUGGGGAAUUUUGCGCAAUGGGGGAAACCCUGACGCAGCAACGCCGCGUGGAGGAUGAAAUCCCUUGGGAUGUAAACUCCUUUCGAUAGGGAAGAUAAUGACGGUACCUAUAGAAGAAGCCCCGGCUAACUUCGUGCCA
rnacentral:rRNA from 1 species